rnacentral:rRNA from 1 species
GAUGAACGCUGGCGGCGUGCCUAAUACAUGCAAGUCGAGCGAACAGACGAGGAGCUUGCUCCUCUGACGUUAGCGGCGGACGGGUGAGUAACACGUGGAUAACCUACCUAUAAGACUGGGAUAACUUCGGGAAACCGGAGCUAAUACCGGAUAAUAUAUUGAACCGCAUGGUUCAAUAGUGAAAGACGGUUUUGCUGUCACUUAUAGAUGGAUCCGCGCCGCAUUAGCUAGUUGGUAAGGUAACGGCUUACCAAGGCAACGAUGCGUAGCCGACCUGAGAGGAUGAUCGGCCACACGGGAACUGAGACACGGUCCAAACUCCUACGGAAGGCAGCAGGAGGGAAUCUUCCGCAAUGGGCGAAAGCCUGACGGAGCAACGACGCGUGGAGGAUGAAGAUCUUCAGAUCGUAAAACUCUGUUAUUAGGGAAGAACAAAUGUGUAAGUAACUAUGCACGUCUUGACGGUACCUAAACAGAAAGCCACGGCUAACUACGUG